UACGUAGGGACCAAGCGUUGUUCGGAUUUACUGGGCGUAAAGGGCGCGUAGGCGGCGCGGUAAGUCACUUGUGAAAUCUCUGAGCUUAACUCAGAACGGCCAAGUGAUACUGCAGUGCUAGAGUGUGGAAGGGGCAAUCGGAAUUCUUUGUGUAGCGGUGAAAUGCGUAGAUAUCAAGAGGAACACCUGAGGUGAAGACGGGUUGCUGGGCCAACACUGACGCUGAGGCGCGAAAGCCAGGGGAGCAAACGGG
rnacentral:rRNA from 1 species